AGGAGCUAGGGGCUGAUUCUGUAAGCAGAUCAUUGUCCUACCCAAUUAUUGUUGAUAUUAAAUCUGCCUUGAAUAAAUAUCACAUCAGGACUGUCAGAAGGACAAACAAUGGGCUGGCUCAUGAACUAGCCAACUUUUCCAAAGCUCAUGGAGACUUUGUGGUUGCGGAUGGUGUCCCAGUCCAACUACAUGAUCUGCUCCGGAAGGAAAACGAUGCAGCCUUAGCGUCGGUAUCAGGCAUUUUGAUGGAUGUAAAGCGGACUUGAUUGUCUGUGAUGGCGCCCCUGAUUUAGAUCUCAGAUACUUUUUGGACGUAAUUUGCAGUACCCAUAAGAUGCAGUGUCCAAAAAUAAUGCUACCUUAACCCUGCAGUUUAUGUUUAGUAUUCUACCUUAAAAUGUUUACUUUUGGCGCAAUAGCUUCUUUGGAUUUUUAUAUUGAACAUUGGACCAUUUUUACUCAACCUUUGGAUAAUUUGUUGCUGUUUAUGUUGUAGAACAACAUAUGUAACACAAUGGUUCCACUAACUUGUUAUAUUUUCCACUAAUGUCCUUCCUGCUUCCAUCUACAUUGCUGCCCCAUCACUCCUCUACCAAAUCCCAGCUUCAUGGUGGAUUCAUCUACAGGUAGUUAAUCUCCUAGCGCCGAAUCACUGCACAGCUGCACAUGAAUUGUUAUGGACCAUUUGUUUUCUUCAGGAAUCCACACCUACGGCAGUUCUCCUAGAAACCAUCUGCCCGAAGUUCAUCUCCCUACCACUCUAGUUUGUGACAGAACAGAGAAUUGUUACAGCUGAGAUCAUAGACAAAUCUUAUGUUGCAACAACAGGUUUGGAGGUUAUGCUGAGAAUUAAAAUGUCAAGGUUCAAAAAAUAGAUGCUUCAAGUAUUUAAUCUCUUCCAAAUACUCUUAUCAUGUUCCUUUCAGUGGUUAGAGCCCACAACUAAGAUAUGUUUGCUUCACACUCAUGCUUGUAAUACGCCUAUAUGGUUUCUUAUUUCAUCAUGUCCACGUUUGUAAUUCACUGGUGCUUGACCGAUAGUAGAGGUUAACCUUUUUUUU